AACAUUAACCGUGAUACCACCAUGCCACCCCAAACUUAAAAAACCUAAGAGAGAGAAAGAACUAGAGGAAGCUAUAGGUGAGGCCAUCUACACUAAUCUCCCUUACCCAUAUGACAUCACCGGAGACAGGCGAGCCGGAUUAUUCUUUCCGAUCUCCGGUUACCUGUUGUUCCAUCCAUAGAUCAGAUUAAAUUGACUUUGUCAGAUUGUAUUGUUUGCCGCUUCCUUCUUCUCUACGAGUUGUUUGGCUCGUCGAUUUCAGAAGCCUAUUCACGGUCUUGUCACAAAUUCCUAAUAAAUUGCAGAGGAGAAAAAAUAUUUUGAAGAUUUUUUAGGGUGUAUCAAGGGUAUUGCAUAUUUAUCUACAAGUUUAUCUUGAGAUGGGAAUACUAAGUUAAAACAAGCCACCGGGCUCACUCUUUAAUAAUGAUGUUGAAUUGGAUGGUAGAUAGAAGGAGAAUGGUAGAUAAAAGGAUGGCAAGAAGGGCAGGGUGGAGUUCUUUUGCACUGAUUUUGGAUAAAUAAAUUAAAUACUAGAUAGGUUUUAGAUUGCUUGGACUAUUAGUUCUUUAUGGAGAUUCAUUAAUUAUCUUAAUUGAUGUAUUUAUUAUUAUAACAAUGGUUUUUGUUAUUAGAAUGAUUGUUAAUGGAUAUUUUAUUUUAAUAAUAAUAAUAAUAAUACGUAUAACUUAAUUUGAAAUAAA